AAUGAUAGGUUGAUCAAUCACUGAUUGACUUUUUAACUCAAGUUAAUUAAU
rnacentral:snoRNA from 1 species